rnacentral:rRNA from 1 species
UACGAUGUCUAGGGGGUCUGAGAGGAUGGUCCUCCACACUGGUACUGAGACACGGACCAGACUCCUACGGGAGGCAGCAGUGAGGAAUAUUGGUCAAUGGGCGAAAGCCUGAACCAGCCAUGCCGCGUGAAGGAUGACAGCCCUAUGGGUUGUAAACUUCUUUUGUACGGGAAGAAACGCCUCUACGUGUAGAGGUUUGACGGUACCGUACGAAUAAGCAUCGGCUAACUCCGUGCCAGCAGCCGCGGUAAUACGGAGGAUGCAAGCGUUAUCCGGAUUUAUUGGGUUUAAAGGGUACGUAGGCGGGAGCUUAAGUCAGUGGUGAAAUCCUGCAGCUUAACUGUAGAACUGUCAUUGAUACUGGGCUUCUUGAAUGUAGUUGAGGUAGGCGGAAUGUGUAAUGUAGCGGUGAAAUGCUUAGAUAUUACACAGAACACCGAUUGCGAAGGCAGCUUACUAAACUACGAUUGACGCUGAGGUACGAAAGCGUGGGGAGCGAACAGGAUUAGAUACCCUGGUAGUCCACGCUGUAAACGAUGAUCACUCGUUGUUGGCAAUACACCGUCAGCGACUGAGCGAAAGCAUUAAGUGAUCCACCUGGGGAGUACGACCGCAAGGUUGAAACUCAAAGGAAUUGACGGGGGCCCGCACAAGCGGAGGAACAUGUGGUUUAAUUCGAUGAUACGCGAGGAACCUUACCUGGGCUUAAAUGUAGAACGACGGACCGGGAAACUGGUCUUUCUUCGGACGGUCUGCAAGGUGCUGCAUGGCUGUCGUCAGCUCGUGCCGUGAGGUGUCGGGUUAAGUCCCAUAACGAGCGCAACCCUCAUCAUUAGUUGCCAGCGGGUAAUGCCGGGGACUCUAAUGAAACUGCCGGUGUAAACCGAGAGGAAGGUGGGGAUGACGUCAAGUCAGCACGGCCCUUAUGUCCAGGGCUACACACGUGUUACAAUGGUCGGUACAAAGGGCAGCUACCUGGCGACAGGAUGCUAAUCUCGAAAACCGAUCUCAGUUCGGAUCGAAGUCUGCAACUCGACUUCGUGAAGCUGGAUUCACUAGUAAUCGCGCAUCAGCCAUGGCGCGGUGAAUACGUUCCCGGGCCUUGUACACACCGCCCGUCAAGCCAUGGAAGCUGGGGGUACCUGAA